AUAUUAUAAAUUUUUAAAGUUUUUAAAAUUUUUAAAAUUAUUUUUAGUAUAUAAAUUUUUAAAAUUAAUGAAAGUUAAUUAAAGUAAUAUUUUAUAUUAUUAAUAAAAUUUUGUGCCAGCAAUUGCGGUUAAACAAAAAAUAGAAAUAAAUAUUUAUAAAUUUAAAUAAAUAAUUAAUUAUAAUAAUAAUAAUAAAAUUUAAAGGUGAAAUUUUAUAAUUUAUUUAUAAUAUUUUAUUAGUAUUUUAAAUAUGAAAUUUAAAAAUUUAAAUUAUAAACUAGGAUUAGAUACCCUAUUAUUUUAAAUAAAUAAAAUAAAUUUAAAAAUUUAAAAAAAUUAAAAUUUAAAAAAUUUGGCAGUAUUUUAAUCAAUUUAGAGGAACUUGUAUAAUUAUAGAUAAUCCACAAUUAAUUUUACUUUAUAUAAUUUAAUUUGUAUAUCGUUGUUAUAAAAAUAUUUUUAUUAAAUUUUAAAAUAUUUUAAAAUUUAAAUAAUAAUUUAUAUCAAAUCAAGAUGCAGUUUAUUAUAAAGAUUUUUAUGAGUUACAAUUUUUAAUAAAAUUGGAUUUAAAAGUGAAAAAUUUUAAUAAAAUUGGAUUUAAAAGUAAUAUAAAUAAUUUAAUUUAUAUGAUUAUUGUUUUAAAAUAUGUACAUAUUGCCCGUCACUCUCAUUAUAUAAUAUAAGUAUAUAAUAUAUAAAAAUUAUUUAUAAUAUUAUUUGAGAUAAGUCGUAACAAAGUAGAUGUAUUGGAAAAUGUAUCUAGAA
rnacentral:ncRNA from 1 species